UGGGGAAUUUUGGACAAUGGGGGCAACCCUGAUCCAGCCAUUCCGCGUGAGUGAAGAAGGCCUUCGGGUUGUAAAGCUCUUUCAGCAGGAACGAAACGGUCGGCUUUAAUAAAGUCGGCUAAUGACGGUACCUGCAGAAGAAGCACCGGCUAACUACGUGCCAGCAGCCGCGGUAAUACGUAGGGUGCGAGCGUUAAUCGGAAUUACUGGGCGUAAAGCGUGCGCAGGCAGCGACAUAAGACAGAUGUGAAAUCCCCGGGCUCAACCUGGGAACUGCGUUUGUGACUGUGUUGCUAGAGUGUAGCAGAGGGGGGUGGAAUUCCACGUGUAGCAGUGAAAUGCGUAGAGAUGUGGAGGAACACCGAUGGCGAAGGCAGCCCCCUGGGUUAACACUGACGCUCAUGCACGAAAGCGUGGGGAGCAAACAGGAUUAGAUACCCCCGUAGUCCCUGAGCGGGCUGGCAAGGCGCAU
rnacentral:rRNA from 1 species